UUACCGAGGUGCGAUGGUUUGAGGGCGUUUACUGAGGUUAAGAAAAGAAUACUGCUUGCUUACCUAAGCAAAGGUAAAUAAUUAAGCAUCGUUAUGCGGAUGACAUCAAGCGACCCUUUCUAAGAUCGUAGUCUGUGCUUAAGGCGACCUGAACUGCAACCUACUAAAGUCAUCCGAUCCUGCAUCACAAGCUCUCAUCAACGUCUGUUCCUCACAUAAUUUAACUCAAUUGACAAAUCUGCCGACAAGGAUCACUGAGUCACCUGCAACUUUGAUAGACGUCAUCCUCGAGUUGAAUAAAAACCUAGUAAGAGAUACAAAGGUCAUACCUGUUUCUAGUAGUGACCACAAUUUAGUUUUUGCUGUUCUUAAACUUCGGCGACAACGUCCUACGGCCGGUAUGUAUAACGACCUGGGUUUCAAGGAUUAUAACACCAGGCUUUUCUCCACGAUAUAUCUUAAGUCCCUUGGUCUGACGUCGACCGUUUCGACGACAUCGAAGAUAGCCUUUAUGCCUUCAAUCUUUUAUUCAAGGAAGUCCUGGAUGAACACGCACCUGGAAAAACGAUCAAAUUACGGAGCCGACCAAACCUGUAUUUUACGGACGAGAUAAGAGAACCUAUGAAAAUAAGGGACUAUUGACGGAAGUUGGCAAGAAGGACCGGCGAUCCAGACGCUUGGAUCGAAUACAGGAAUCUUAAACACGAAGUUAAGAGGGGGAUUAGACAGGCAGAACGCGAGUCCAUGGCAGAUCAAGUAAAGAGAAAUCCCAAAAAUUCUGGUCGCGGAAGUCGCCAAAUGCUCUCCAAACUCCCUGACGUACGUUUAUCGUUGUUGGGGAAAGAUCUUACUAUAAACCGAUAAAGAUCUUGGCGUUACAUUUGAUCCGAACCUCAAUUUUUACGAUCACAUCCAUAAAACUGUUGCGUCUUGUAUGUCCAGCCUUGCUCGAAUCAGUCGUGUUAAGCAUAUGUGUGAUAGAAAUACUCUAAUGACAAUAAUUAAUACCCUCGUAUUUAGUAAACUGUUUUAUUGUUCA